rnacentral:piRNA from 1 species
UAUAGUAGACUGUCAAAAUAAAU